rnacentral:tRNA from 2 species
GCCCCAGUAGCUCAGUUUGGAUAGAGCGGUGGCUUCCUAAGCCAUAGGUCGGGGGUUCAAGUCCCCCCUGGGGCG